UACUUAGAAACAUUUUUAUUCAAUGAAAGUAUCUUUUCUCUCAGGGUCAAGUAGGAAAUAGACUUUACAAAUACUUUACAUGUCAGUUUGAUUGAAACUCACGUUAAAAGCACCACGAACACAAACAAAACAGGAUGACGGUCACCGUAGAAGGUAAGGUGGAGGUGAGGGGAAGUUACCGAUCACCUGUCUGAGGACAGUUGUUAACAUGAGAAGGAAGAUCUUUUUGGAACGAGACAAAAACUGAAUCAGUGCUGUAGAUUUCUAGAUGAAUGCCAGACAUUAACGCUAAAUGUAAGCAACCUUGGUACAUGUCAGCCCAGACGCCAGAGGAAAAUGUUCACAUUGUACAUUUUUGCAAACCACAGAUGCGUUACAUUUGUAAGGAUAUGUUUGGUACAUUUCUAAAGGGACAUAUUAUAUAGGCUUGUCAUCUGGAGGUGGAGGGGAUGGUGGGACACCUAGGUGAGGUGUUGUCAUCCCUCGUUAACCCUUGUUCCUGUCUGGAUACUGCCAAGAAAAGCGGGUAUUUUCAGCCAAAAUCGUAACCACGUGGUUUUUGUGCCUAAACUUAACCACAAGUUGAUGUACAAAUGUGAUGUAUCUGUGGUUUGCAGAAACAAUACCAACAUUUUUUCUGCCGACUGAGUUGUUGAAAUGACAAUGACAUUUUUCCUUUGACACAGAAAUCCGUUAAUAAGUGAUGUUAGUAAAGUGCACCCAGCUGUGGUCAUAUUCACCAACCAGAGUGGUUUAAACCAAAUGACACCAAAGGGAUGAGAUACUGGUGAGUCCUGCUGUUGCUGCAAACUUUAAGGUUGUCGUACGUCAGACAGACACGAACAAUAUCUUAUUUGGGCUUAUUUUAGACAUUUUUAAACUGUGUAAGCAUCUUGCCUCCUGCAGGUUUCACCUAAAUUAAAAACACAUAUUCUCACUUACCUCUGGUGAUACCUACUGGAGCAUGCAGAUAUUUUUAUGAAGCUGCUGCCCCAAUACAACAUCAGUGAAUGUUAGUGUUCACUUCAAGAUUUAUCUCUCUCUUUCCAGAAUCAAUGUCCGUGUUACUCUGGAGAAUCAUCGGAGCUUGCUGUCAAAGGUUUUCACCAGAACAAAAACAGCUGACAGUGAUUAUUGUGGAUGACUGUGAUUAACAGGGACAGUGACUCUGAAGAGAGAUGUUACACUUGAAUCUUUUAAAUGUGACUUUUUAAUACUGUGACCACUGCAAUCAGAGUGGUACGGAGAGCGCGGGGGUCAUACGGUAUUGGCUCUGCUGAUUGAGUAUGUGCAAGCACACAUUCCUGCUAGAUCACAUAUUAAACAUGAAUGCUGCUUUUCUGUUUACCUCAUGAAGUAAAAAUGACCGUACAUGACUGUGAUAACUUUCUCAGAGCAGUAAAACUCAAGCAGCGCCCUGCAUUUUGUUUCUUAAUACACACGGGGCUGUUUUUAGUCUCUAUGCCCACAGCAGCUCCUGGAUUAUACAUCUGACAUCCAACCCCGUCGCCUAGAAAUUAUGUUUAUAUACAGAUAAAUUCCAACAGCUGAUACGUUUUGAAGGAAAUGCAAAGCCCCGAUCAGACAGAGGGCUUUUUGAAGCUCAUUGCAUGUUUUUUUAAUCGUUGCUUGGCAACCACCGAAUAACACGUCCUUAGCUUAACUGCUGAGAAGUAAACACGGAGAUCUGCACCUUAAAAUCUGCAUAAAGGAUGGACAGGCGGAGGGCGAACGUCUGGCUCUGAUUGAGACUGAGAAGCUGUUGGUCACAAGGAAACAGAGAUCCAUGUGGGUACAUGAGACCCUCAAGAGAGAAGAAACAUCACAAGACCACCAGCUGGUCCAGGAGCUUUGCCUGGAUGAUGGUCAGUUCAGGGCUGAUUAGGAUGCGUCGGGUCACUUUGACAAUCUGCUGUCAAUUGCUGGGCCUAAUUACAGUAGGUUAAAUGUUAGGAAGCAGUUAAGGCUUCGACAAUGUGUUCAUAUGUCUUAGAGAAAAAACCGCCAAUGAUGUCGAGGAUUUCAGGGUGCACAGAGCAGAAAAACAGCAGGAGGUGCUCGGCAACACAAAGGCUGUGCGCAAAACACUUCACUCUCAAUGAAAACAAUGACAAAAAGCCGCCACACGCUGCUAAAAUGCGCUGUCUGAUUACGUUUCUUAUUAACAGGAGAAAAUGGUAAAUCUCUGCAUUUAAAAAUACAAUAUCAGCUUGUAAGGACUAGGGGAGUAAUGAUCCAUCAAUCUGGAUCGAAACAUCGAUUCAGUGAUCAACGCACCAAUCUGCAAAAUGCAAAAUGAAAACAUCAAUCCAUAUCAUCAUCUUUAGGACACGCAAACAGCAGCAGGCAGACAGGCAAGCAGCCGAGAGAAAACCUAUGAGGAUGACGUUAUUUACUCGGGAAUAAAUCAGCAGUGUGGAAGUAUUUGGGAUUUUGGGGAAAAUACAGGUCAACAGAGCAGAGCACAUGACGUUACGAGUCUAAACACGACGUAACGUUACCUGCCUGGACGGCCAUCUCACUCCGCUGACUUCUCACUACAGCAACAUUAGCUGCUGUUUCAACUAUGCUGGGCUGAAAAAAAUAA